CCGGCUUCCUUCCCAGGGUGGAGGAGUGUGGGCUUGAGUAGAGCUGGCACUCGUGCUGUGGUGACAGGUGUCACCUGAGGUCUGCCCACACCUCCAGGCGACUGUCGGGAGUGCGGGUCUAGAGCCAGCUCUGCCCUUGCCGUUGAGAACCCAGGGUGAGGUACUCAACGCCUCUGAGCCUCCAUUUCCUCGCUUGUCCAAUGGGGAUCAUACUUUUCCUGCCUCAGAAUGUGGAGAGGUUGAGCUGAGAUGGUGCAGGCAAGGGCUCUGCCCCACCCAGUGCCUUUGAUGCUGGAAGGAGCCCCGCCCGGUCCCACCUGCCCUGCUGCUCUGGGCCUGGGCCGGGGUUUCAGCCUUGGGCUCGGGCAGCUAGAUGGGGGCUUGGAGUGAACUCUGGCCUCACGUCAGCUGUGAGUGGGACAGGAGGCUGCUGAGUGGUCGAGACCUGCAGGCAGAAAGAAAUUCCUGGAGGAGGCACGUGAGGGGGCCACCAGCCUGUGCAGGGAACCGGGAAAACCGGCGGCCAGCCGCUCGCCCGAGGUGUGGAGGUCUGCCGUGAGGGAAGCACCUCGAAGCCCCCCUCUUCCAAGAGGCCCUCCCGGAUCAGCUCUGCCUGACUACGCGGGGGACGCUGCUUGGCUGCCAGGAGCUGCCCACCCAUCCUUCCAGGGUGAAGGCGGAGGUAGAGGCGGUGAUUCCCAGCAUGAAGUGACCGUGUGUACAAGCUUCGGAGUGGAGGUGUGUCUGCCCAGCCAGGAUGAUGCUCUGCGGGACCUUCCUGGGUGCGUACCUCCCCCCUCCCCACACUGAGCCCCCCCCCCCCCGGCAACCCCCGGCACCCCCCCACCCCCCGCCUCCGCCU
rnacentral:lncRNA from 1 species